rnacentral:rRNA from 1 species
AUUGAACGCUGGCGGCAGGCCUAACACAUGCAAGUCGAGCGGAGCGGCGGACGGGUGAGUAAUGCCUAGGAAUCUGCCUGGUAGUGGGGGAUAACGUCCGGAAGCGGGCGCUAAUACCGCAUACUAUCAGAUGAGCCUAGGUGGGAUUAGCUCGUUGGUGGGGUAACGGCCUACCAAGGCGACGAUCCGUAACUGAUCUGAGAGGAUGAUCAGUAACACGGGAACUGAGACACGGUCCAGACUCCUACGGGAGGCAGCAGUAGGGAAUAUUGGGCAAUGGGCGAAAGCCUGAUCCAGCCAGGCCGCGUGUGUGAAGAAGGUCUUCGGAUUGUAAAGCACUUUAAGUUGGGAGGCGUUACCAACAGAAUAAGCCACGGCUAACUUCGUGCCAGCAGCCGCGGUAAUUC